CACAAAUAGUUACUUUACAAAAUAUUUUCUUUAACGAGUUUGAUAAAUUAAUGCCUGCUCACAACUGUCCAUCCACCGGCCCAUCCCUUGGCUCAAACACUUAUAGGGGUGGGGAAAGAUGUGCAACCAAGUAAGAUUGCGCUGACGAGAGGAAUCAUGAGAUCUGCACAAGAAACAAGCGGUUGUGACGGGAAAAGCUGCAUUCACCUCCUUGAAAGGUAUUGAUUCUGAGAGAAUUGAUGUUUGCUGGAGUAUGCUUAGAUCCACAAAAGUGGCUUUUUGUUAGUCAAAGUGAGUCGGAGUUGCAGCAAGUCGAGCAUUCAGUUUGUUGGUCCGAGGGGAAAACAAAUGACUCAAGUUCUGUUUGUGAAAUGCAAACACAAAAGUAACGACUUCAUGCAAAUGCUGAGCGUGUGUGUGGAGCCUCCCGGCAUGGAUGAUGCUGAAACUUAACAAUAUAGAAGCUUUUCAGCUCAAAAGAUUAAAGCAGAAGGAAGUGUUUUUGUUUUUUUAAAUAUCUGAUGUAAUAUGCAUUAUUUUAUUUAUUAUGUUUUCUAAGUCAGACAGAUUACGGCUAAUCAGUGGUCAUUCUAGGUGUGACGUUUUACGAUCAUCCUGAGAUUCUUAUAGUGUGAAUGCUUAGUGAACAUUCACACUAUAGUGCUUCUCCUGCUCCUUUCUGUAUGUUUUUCAGCACAUAAAAACUCAAGAACACUUUCAGCAAUCUUGGUGUCAACACCUUGUUCAGGACAUUACUGCUUGUAUUUUUGGUAUUCAUAAACUUUAUAGUUUUUGAAAUAUUGAGCAAAAUAUACCCAAUAGGAAAUGAACGAGACAGUCUUAAAAUGUCAACAUUUUAAGUAGAUUCGCAACAAUCUACCUUAGCCUUUAGAUAUAUUCAUGGGCUAUGUUUUCAUUUUUUAUAGUAAUUUUAAAAAAUUGAGUUUAGCUAAUAUUUUAGCAA